UAGGGAAUCUUCCGCAAUGGGCGAAAGCCUGACGGAGCAACGCCGCGUGAGUGAUGAAGGUCUUCGGAUCGUAAAGCUCUGUUGUUAGGGAAGAACAAAUGUGUAAGUAACUGUGCACAUCUUGACGGUACCUAACCAGAAAGCCACGGCUAACUACGUGCCAGCAGCCGCGGUAAUACGUAGGUGGCAAGCGUUAUCCGGAAUUAUUGGGCGUAAAGCGCGCGUAGGCGGUUUUUUAAGUCUGAUGUGAAAGCCCACGGCUCAACCGUGGAGGGUCAUUGGAAACUGGAAAACUUGAGUGCAGAAGAGGAAAGUGGAAUUCCAUGUGUAGCGGUGAAAUGCGCAGAGAUAUGGAGGAACACCAGUGGCGAAGGCGGCUUUCUGGUCUGCAACUGACGCUGAUGUGCGAAAGCGUGGGGAUCAAACA
rnacentral:rRNA from 1 species